UACGAAGGGGGCUAGCGUUGCUCGGAAUCACUGGGCGUAAAGCGCACGUAGGCGGUUUGUUAAGUCAGGGGUGAAAUCCUGGAGCUCAACUCCAGAACUGCCUUUGAUACUGGCGAUCUUGAGUCCGGGAGAGGUGAGUGGAACUCCGAGUGUAGAGGUGAAAUUCGUAGAUAUUCGGAAGAACACCAGUGGCGAAGGCGGCUCACUGGUCCGGUACUGACGCUGAGGUGCGAAAGCGUGGGAGCAAACAGG
rnacentral:rRNA from 1 species